rnacentral:sRNA from 1 species
AUGUGCCCCCGUACACUCCAGUUACUCCGCGCCGCCCGCAGCCACCUGACGACUGCUCGCGACGUGUUGUUAGCA